rnacentral:rRNA from 1 species
AUUGAGCGCUGGCUGCAGGCCUAACACAUGCAAGUCGAGCGGAGCGGCGGACGGGUGAGUAAUGCCUAGGAAUCUGCCUGGUAGUGGGGGAUAACGUCCGGAAACGGGCCCUAAUACCGCAUACUAUCAGCAGAUCCUAGGUCGGAUUAGCUAGUUGGUGGGGUAAAGGCCUACCAAGGCGACGAUCCGUAACUGGUCUGAGAGGAUGAUCAGUCACACUGGAACUGAGACACGGGCCAGACUCCUACGGGAGGCAGCAGUGGGGAAUAGUGGACAAUGGGCGAAAGCCUGAUCCAGCCAUGCCGCGUGGGUGAAGAAGGUCUUCGGAUUGUAAAGCACUUUAAGUUGGGAGGCGUUACCAACAGAAUAAGCACCGGCUAACUUCGUGCCAGCAGCCGCGGUAAUUC